rfam:Myotis davidii contig11441, whole genome shotgun sequence.
AGACCAAGAAAGAGAGGCAGGGUCUGAUCCACAGCCUCAGUGGCAGCUGUUGAUCAGUACUUGCCUCUCCUUCUCUCCCUC